GCUCGGUUGGAACAUUUGAUGGAGUGGAAUGGCUCUCUAUCCCGUCGAUCUGGGAGAAGCUCGGAUGUCUCCGAAGCUGCUGACGAGUCUACUGUUGUCGGAUACCUUAGGCGUUGAUACUACAGGUGGGAGUUAUCUGCUGUAGAAGCUCGGAUGGAGACUUUCCGUUGGUGAAGCCCGGUAGGAGUCUGAUUACUAGAGAAGUCCAUCUGGGAUUCGCCUGAUGUGAAAGCUCGUCUGAAGAUGAUCCGUCAGAGAAGUUCGGUUUUAUGAAGGAUCUGGCGGAGGGUCGGCUGGCGAUGGACUUCGGA
rnacentral:lncRNA from 1 species